ensembl:miRNA Mir5627 microRNA 5627
AGAGGGUGCGCCGGGCCCUGCGUCCCCGCCCUAGAGGACAGGGCUCUCCGGCGCCCCUCGU